rnacentral:rRNA from 1 species
GUGUCAGCCGCCGCGGUAAUACGUAGGAUGCGAGCGUUGUCCGGAUUCACUGGGUGUAAAGGGAGCGCAGGCGGGUCGGUAAGUCGAUGGUGAAAUCCUCAGGCUUAACCUGAGAACUGCCAUCGAUACUGCUGAUCUUGAGUGUGGAAGAGGCCGAUGGAAUUCCUGGUGUAGCGGUGAAAUGCGUAGAUAUCAGGAAGAACACCGAUGGCGAAGGCAGUCGGCUGGUCCAUUACUGACGCUCAUGCUCGAAAGCGUGGGGAUCAAACAGGAUUAGAAACCCCUGUAGUCC